rnacentral:rRNA from 1 species
CAGUCGCCGCGGUAAUACGGAGGGUGCAAGCGUUAAUCGGAAUUACUGGGCGUAAAGCGCACGCAGGCGGUCUGUCAAGUCGGAUGUGAAAUCCCCGGGCUCAACCUGGGAACUGCAUUCGAAACUGGCAGGCUAGAGUCUUGUAGAGGGGGGUAGAAUUCCAGGUGUAGCGGUGAAAUGCGUAGAGAUCUGGAGGAAUACCGGUGGCGAAGGCGACCCCCUGGACAAAGACUGACGCUCAGGUGCGAAAGCGUGGGGAGCAAACAGGAUUAGAUACCCCAGUAGUCCCUGUCUCUUAUAA